GUGAACGCUGGCGGCAGGCCUAAUACCUGCAAGUCGAACGGCAGCACAGUGGAGCUUGCUCCAUGGGUGGCGAGUGGCGGACGGGUGAGGAAUACAUGGGAAUCUGCCCAGUCGUGGGGGAUAACGUAGGGAAACUUACGCUAAUACCGCAUGCGCCCUUCGGGGGAAAGCCGGGGACCUUCGGGCCUGGCGCGAUUGGAUGAGCCCAUGUUCGAUUAGCUAGUUGGCGGGGUAAAGGCCCACCAAGGCGACGAUCGAUAGCUGGUCUGAGAGGAUGAUCAGCCACACUGGGACUGAGACACGGCCCAGACUCCUACGGGAGGCAGCAGUAGGGAAUAUUGGACAAUGGGCGCAAGCCUGAUCCAGCCAUGCCGCGUGAGUGAAGAAGGCCCUCGGGUUGUAAAGCUCUUUUGUCCGGGAAGAAAAGCAUCGGGCUAAUACCUCGGUGUUCUGACGGUACCGGAAGAAUAAGCACCGGCUAACUUCGUG
rnacentral:rRNA from 1 species